rnacentral:rRNA from 1 species
AGCGAACGCUGGCGGCAUGCCUAACACAUGCAAGUCGAACGAACUCUCCGGCGUUAGUCUCGGACGGGUUAGUGACACGGGGGAACAUGCCUUUGGGUUCGCAAUAACUCAGGGAAACUUGUGCUAAUACCGAAUGUGCUCUUCCGGGGAAAGAUUUAUUGCCAUUAGAGCGGCCCUCGUCUGAUUAGCUUGUUGGUGAGGUAACGGCUCACCAAUGCGACGAUCAGUAGCUGGUUUGAGAGGAUGACCAGCCACACUGGGGGUAGGACACGGCCCAGAAUCCUACGGAAGGGAGGAGUGGGGAAUCUAGCGAAAUGGGGGGAGGGCUGACGCCGCCAUGCCGGGUGAAUGAUGAAGGUCGUAGGAUUGUAAUAUUGUUUCACCGGGGACGAUAAUGACGGUACCCGGAGAAGAAGCCCCGGCUAACUUCGUG